rfam:Gossypium arboreum cultivar AKA8401 contig_165937_1, whole genome shotgun sequence.
UUAGCGGCGCUUUUAAGCGCCACUAAAACUAUUAGCGGCGUUUUUG